GGAGGCCUGCUACUCAUGGUGAAGGCAGCUAGCUCUAAACCUCCCUUAGUGAGGGAUGACCUGUGUGUAUGGAUUCAACAUGAAAGACUGAGGAGAUCCGUUAUCAAAAUGUACCAAAGAGUUGUACUGGGACGUGUGCCAGGCACUUGUGAUACAGCCAAUAGAGAGCAGACCAGGAGCCAAGCCUGACAGAGAGCAACUGUCGGAUGUGCAGAUUCAGUCCAGAUCUCUCUCUCCCGAUUGCCCCCUGUUCAAGAUUCCUGGGUGAAGAAUGCACCACCGUUGGGAUGCUGUCUGUAAAGCUGGCUGUUUUUGCAUAAGACUCAGCCUGGGCUCAAGGCAGCCCUUCCUCUGCUUGCAUUUCUCUGAAAAUGAAUUCUGCUAGGUAGGAGUGCAGGGUACUCAAAUAGUAGGCACUCAGAAUCUCCUGCUGUGAUUGCUUCUUGCUUCUUCCUUCAUAGAUCAUUAAAAUGCCGCCGAACCAUAGCUGUCCGGAAAGGACAGCUUAAAAAGAGAAAAGUAAAAUAUUUAUAAAUAAUUAAAAUGUAAACCAGUGACCCAGGACUAGGAAUAUGCACAUGCAUUAAUAGUGUUAGCGAGGUAAUGAAUUCUAAGUGGCACUAGCCUGUAAUUCCAUAGAAUAGACGACUUCUUCAAGAGGGUGAUUUACCUUGAAAGCAUAGCUCAGGUGCCUUUUUUGAUAUGGUUUUGCUGUUGCUAUGGAAAUUGUCUCUGUAGGAAUGUGCACAAAUGUAGGCUAGAUUGCUAGUGGCAUGGGUAAGGAGGUGUGGGCUGGGGGCAGGCAUGUUGACACUUGCCAGUCUCCAGCUUUGGUCGGAAGGAGACUGGCACAGAGUGGAGCGUAGGCGGUGGGUAGGUCCCACCUUGGAUAUCUGGGGAAUGAGAGACCCCAGGACUUAGUUCUGCACUCUGCUGUUUGAGUGACCUAUUAUGGUUGCUAUCUCAGUUUUCUCAUUAAGAAUUCUCUCACUGUCGGUGUCAUCGAGUCUAGUUGGACAAAGAGUCUAACAGUUACUGCAGAAUGUAACCCCCGCCCCCCCCCCCACAAUGAGAAAAAUGUAUUGAAGUAAUUCUGUAGACCUUUCAUGAUUCCCUGCCCUCUAACAGACACACACACACACACACACACACACACACACACACACACACACACGGGACUUAAGCUAUUUUCUGGGUGAGAACCAUUGUUUCCUACCCAUAAACUCCUGACUUCCAUCACAGUCCUGGAUUAACAGCUGUGGUUCCACACACCCAGAAGAAGGAACAGGUCAUCUUUUGUAGCUUCACAGGGAGAAAUUGAAAUUGUGUUGA